rnacentral:rRNA from 1 species
AUUGAACGCUGGCGGCAGGCCUAACACAUGCAAGUCGAGCGAGCGGCGGACGGGUGAGUAAUGUAUGGGGAUCUGCCCGAUAGAGGGGGAUAACUACUGGAAACGGUGGCUAAUAACGCAUACUAUCGGCUGAACCCAUAUGUGAUUAACUAGUAGGUGGGGUAAAGGCUCACCUAGGCGACGAUCUCUAGCUGGUCUGAGAGGAUGAUCAGCAAAAUGGGGACUGAGACACGGCCCAGAAUCAUACGGGAGGCAGCAGUGGGGAAUAUGUGACAAUGGGCGCAAUCCGUAUGCAGCCAGGUCGCGUGUGUGAAGAAGGCCUUCGGGUUGUAAAGCACUUUCAGCGGGGAGGCGUUACCCGCAGAAGAAGCACCGGCUAACGCCGUGCCAGCAGCCGCGGUAAUAC